AGUGAAGAGAUUGGAACAGGUACAGGUGAUGGGAAAUUACCUACGAGUCAAGAUUGGAGGACAAAGAGGCACUGGAGAGCAUCGUCAAGGUUCCUACUGGAGUCCUAUUCUGAACAGAGCAUGGAACAUUAGCACAGAGUUAUGCUGGACAUGCGCUCAGAAAGACAUCAAGACAAGAGCCAACUCUAGGAGCCAAGGGCUCAGAAUGUAUUCAAGUGUUGAUAUCCUGGGACUGAACAAGAACUAAAGAAUAUUGGGGAGACCAUAUCAUGACAUCCAACUAUGACCCAGAGCCACCUGGGAGGCUGCAUCUUGAAGUUAAUUCCUCCAAGUCCUUCCAUAGUCUUCAAAAGACUCCUCCACCUCCUCCUUCCUCUUCCUUGGAAUGGUCCCAAGGCUUGGUUGCUUCCUGAGACAAAGACUUUUCCCUCUUCACAGCUUCGCCACAGGCAGUUGAUCCAACUGUACGGACAGGAAAUUCUUGUCCUCAUUAGAGACAGAACUUCUCUCAGAUGUGACAAAUGUUAGACACACUUGCUGCUCUCACUCCUACUCCUUGAGACUGCAGCAAACAUCACUAAACAAUUAGUGCUUCUUUCUUACUGGGCUUGGACACAGCUUCAGAAUAAUCAGCACAGCCAUCCAAGCGGCUAAUGCCAACCCACUGAAGACAGCACCAGGAGGGAGACUUGGACCCUGCCUCGUAGACUCUACACUCCGGAUGAGAAGAGAGGCAUCACUUGGGCUUCAGAUCCUCUAUGAGUGUGGCUGGGAGAAGAAAAACAAAAACAUACUUUCAAGUAGACUCCUCAGAGACCUGGUUGCGUAGAGUGAGAAAGAACCUUGGAUGUCAUGCAUUCAAAACUGCAAAAACAUGGACGGAGCGAGUGAACGGUAGGACAGGGAGACCCCACCGCGGUGCUGAAGAUUCCACACCCUUCCCAAAGCUCCUCUCAUCUUCAUUCACCUCUCAAUCGUCGCUAGGAUUCCUCUGUUUGGAGUCAAAUUCUGCCUCCUUAUCAUUCCCACUCAUUUGUGUUAGUUCUGCCCUUAUCCUUCUUUGGCACAGUAAGCCUUCAGUUAGGGGAUAUGGCAGACAGAAUGAAGGCCUCUGAAGAUGUCCUAAUCCCCUGAAUCUACGAAUUUGUUACCUUACCCAGCAAAAGGGACUUUGAAGAUGGGAUUACUUUAAGGAUCUUGAGAUGGAAGAUUAUCCUGGAUCAUUUGAACAGCUUCAGUGCAAUUACAAGAAUCCCUUUAAGAGGGAGGCAGGAGGGCAGAAGAUUUAACAUGGAAGUAGAGGUUGCAGUUAGGUCAAUGCUGGAAGGACCUAGAGCAACAGAAUGUAGGGAGCCUGUAGAAGCAGGAAAAGACAAGGGAGGGCUUCUCCUACACUUCCUGCCAACACUAAUUUUAUCCCUGGACCACCCAUUUCAAAAUUCAGAAAUGCAGAGAUCUUUUUGCCAGAGUGUCUUGGCUUUCCAUGCCUGAAAUACUCUCAUGGGCUUUUCAGCCAGAUCCGAGUGCCUUUAGGGCUGAUUCUGAGGCCAGAGUGCUAUUUAGGACAUCCGCCAUUCUAUGAGUCUGCUGAGUAUUUCACUUCCCAUGUUGGAUCACUCUCCCCUUUAUUUAUUCUAUCGGUUAGUGUUAGCAGAUACUAGACUUGUUUAUGUGCUCCCUUUGACUCUUAGUCCUUUCAUUAUGAUCAAUUGUGAACUGAAAUUGAUCACUUGGAAUAGUGAGAUGGCAUUGGCACAUGCCACCUUGAUGGGAUUGAAUUGGAAUCCCCUAGUAUGUUUCCAACUCUACCAAUUGGGGCAAGUCAGCCCGAGCAUGCCCCAAAUUAUACAUCUCUUCCCUCUCUUAUUCCCACUUUUAUGUUUAACAGGGAUCACAUUUCAGUUAAUUUUCAACACUUAAGAAUAACUGUGUGAUAAUUACAGAAUUAAACCAGUCAUAUUAAGUAGAACAGACAAAAAAAAAAUACUAUGAGGGAUAAUGUAUUAAGUUGUCCAUUAGCAGUCAGGGCUAUGCUGAUCAAGUCACCAUUUCUCAUAGUGUCCAUUUCACUUCAGGAGGUUUCCUUUUUGGUGUUCAGUCAGUUGUCACCGAUCA
rnacentral:lncRNA from 1 species